rnacentral:tRNA from 1 species
GUCGGAAUAACUCAGAGGGUAGAGUAACAACAAUUAUGUGGGUUCGAAUCCCACUUCUGCCG